AGUGAACGCUGGCGGUAGGCCUAACACAUGCAAGUCGAACGGCAGCACAGGAGAGCUUGCUCUCUGGGUGGCGAGUGGCGGGCGGGUGAGGAAUACAUCGGAAUCUGCUCAGUCGUGGGGGAUAACGUAGGGAAACUUACGCUAAUACCGCAUACGACCUUCGGGGGAAAGAGGGGGAUCGCAAGACCUCUCUCGAUUGGAUGAGCCGAUGUCGGAUUAUCUAGUUGGCGGGGUAAUGGCCCACCAAGGCCACGAUCCGUAGCUGGUCUGAGAGGAUGAUCAGCCACACUGGAACUGAGACACGGUCCAGACUCCUACGGGAGGCAGCAGUGGGGAAUAUUGGACAAUGGGCGCAAGCCUGAUCCAGCAAUACCGCGUGGGUGAAGAAGGCCUUCGGGUUGUAAAGCCCUUUUGUUGGGAAAGAAAUCUUUCAGGCUAAUACCCUGGGAGGAUGACGGUACCCAAAGAAUAAGCACCGGCUAACUUCGUG
rnacentral:rRNA from 1 species